rnacentral:rRNA from 1 species
UUCCAGAGAUGGAUUGGUGCCGUUCGGGAACUCUGACACAGGUGCUGCAUGGCUGUCGUCAGCUCGUGUCGUGAGAUGGUUGGGUUAAGUCCCGUAACGAGCGCAACCCUUGUCCUUAGUUACCAGCACGUUAUGGUGGGCACUCUAAGGAGACUGCCGGUGACAAACCGGAGGAAGGUGGGGAUGACGUCAAGUCAUCAUGGCCCUUACGGCCUGGGCUACACACGUGCUACAAUGGUCGGUACAAAGGGUUGCCAAGCCGCGAGGUGGAGCUAAUCCCAUAAAACCGAUCGUAGUCCGGAUCGCAGUCUGCAACUCGACUGCGUGAAGUCGGAAUCGCUAGUAAUCGUGAAUCAGAAUGUCACGGUGAAUACGUUCCCGGGCCUU